CAUGCCUAACACAUGCAAGGUCGAACGGGGGUAGCAAUACCCUAGUGGCGAACGGGUGAGUAACACAUAAGCAAUCUGCCCUUCACAGGGGGAUAACAGCGGGAAACUGCUGCUAAUACCGCAUAAGACCACGGUACCGCAUGGUACAGGGGUAAAAACGAAUCAGUGGUGAAGGAUGAGCUUAUGUCCCAUUAGCUAGUUGGUAAGAUAACAGCCCACCAAGGCGACGAUGGGUAGCCGACCUGAGAGGGUGAUCGGCCACACUGGAACUGAGACACGGUCCAGACUCCUACGGGAGGCAGCAGUGGGGAAUAUUGGGCAAUGGAAGGAAACUCUUACCCAGCAAUGCCGCGUGAGUGAAGAAGGUCUUCGGAUUGUAAAGCUCUUUGAUUGGGGACGAAGAAAGUGACGGUACCCAAAGAACAAGCCCCGGCUAACUACGUGCCAGCCGCCGC
rnacentral:rRNA from 1 species